GAAAAAUACAAGGCUUCGAGCAAGUUGCGAGGGGAUCGAGAUUCGUUCAAACGAUGCAGAAGCUUCGAAGUACUUGGCCUGCAAUAUUCCAAGAGCACACAGGUGUAAGUAAAAACAAGGGGCAAGCAACCAUCACCAGCAAAAAGGAAGAGAAUGAGACUGUUUCAGACGCAUACCAGAAGAGCAAGCAGUGUCCUGUAGAGACUCAUCUUCCUCCUCGCCGUCGUUGCACAUCAGCUCGGACGUGAUGAAGGAGGCAUCAUCGUCGAUGGAAUCGAAGGAAGAAGAGAAGCCGGAGGAGAAGCUACCGCC